UACGGAGGGGGUUAGCGUUGUUCGGAAUUACUGGGCGUAAAGCGCGCGUAGGCGGACCGGAAAGUUGGGGGUGAAAUCCCGGGGCUCAACCCCGGAACGGCCUCCAAAACUCCUGGUCUUGAGUUCGAGAGAGGUGAGUGGAAUUCCGAGUGUAGAGGUGAAAUUCGUAGAUAUUCGGAGGAACACCAGUGGCGAAGGCGGCUCACUGGCUCGAUACUGACGCUGAGGUGCGAAAGUGUGGGGAGCAAACAGG
rnacentral:rRNA from 1 species